GGAAUCCGCUAAGGAGUGUGUAACAAYUCACCUGCSGAAUGAAUUAGCCCUGAAAAUGGAUGGCGCUGAAGCGGGUAGCCGACACCACGCCGUCUGGACAAAGUGGUUUUUUCAGAUGAGUAGGAGGGCGUGGCGGUUGUAUCGAAGCGUGGAUGCGAAUCUGCGUGGAACAGCCGCUAGUGCAGAUCUUGGUGGUAGUAGCAAAUAUUCAAGCGAGAUCCUUGAAGGGCGAAGCGGGGAAGGGUUCCACGCGAACAUUGAUUGGGCGUGGGUGAGUCGUUCCUAAGCCGCGUGGCAAUAGCUAAUUACCGGCGAAAGGGAAGCAGGUUGACAUUCCUGCACACGGAUGUGGAGACGGCGACGAUACGUGAGGCGAUCACGCUGGCGGUGGCGCUGGGCAGAGUUGUCUUUUCUGUUUGACCAUUGAAUACUUGCUGUGUGGAAUCCGCUUGUCGGGAGAAACACGCAGGUACGGGCAGAGCGCCGGGGCUUUUCCGGCGUCCAGCUCGCCACCGACGGCCCUUGAAAAAUUGCCUGCUGGACAACAUUUCGGUGUUGUGAGAUCCACGCCGUGGCGUACCGAUAACCGCAUCAGGUCCCCAAGGUGAACAGCCUCUGCUCARUAUGAACAAUGCAGGUAAGGGAAGUCGGCA
rnacentral:rRNA from 1 species